GAUAGAGCAUCGGCGAAUAGAUCAGAGAUAAUUUUAGCUUUCAUCUAAAAACUCCUACCUACUCUCAAACCUACUCCUACCUACUCCAACCUACCUCUAUAUUCUAGCUAUUGUCAAGUGUAUUCAAUAAGAAAUCAAGAAGUCUUCAUUUCUCAAAAGCUUCCGUUGUCUACUCAAUAUUAUCUGUAAGUCCAAAUCUUUAAGUGAAUUACAAGUUUAUAUUUCCUUAAGUUUUAUGCCUAUCAAAAGUUUUAGUUUCAAAGAGCUACAAGGCAACCGAUCUUCUAGGUAAGCAUAGAACUACUCUUUUUGAUGUCAAUAUUGUGACUAAAGUUGUGGAAGUUUAUUUUGUUGAAGUUUCCAGCAACUCGACAUCAAAUUUGACUGUCGUUGGAAGAUGGGUGGAUGAGUUUCUUGUGUUAGGGGCAAGAGAUGUAAAUCUUCUAGCAACAAGUUUCUAAUUACUUAUUGAAGUAUUGCCAAAUAAUGCUAGGUACUAUCAUGACAACCUCUACAGAGCUAUAGAUAUGUAUUUCAAGGUAUGCAACUCUGCUUGAUUUCUUAUAUUUAGGGAGAAAGGAAAAAGGAGUAGUUCUCUUGUCAAGUAUGAUAGGCAUAACAUCCCUAGAAAUGCAUAGAAAGAUGACAUGUCAAGUGAAAUUGUUCACUUUUCACAUUUCAAUUAGUCUGUUCAAAAUGCUUGCCCAAAUUUUAGGCAAAUCUAGGGGAAUAGAGCAAGAAUAUAUUCGAUCCCUUAUUCAUUUUUCGUGAAUGUUUGACUGACAUGUUAUUCAGGUUGAGAUUUGCCUUAAACUUAUAUACAAGCAUCUCCAAACCUGAUAGAAGAAGAGAGAAGCAAUAUAUGCAAAAGUCAUUGACUACAAUAAACAGUCACAAGAAGUGCGUAAACAUGCCUUCAAGAACAAUAGAUUGCCAGUAAACAUCGCGACACAACUCUUACUUCUUGAACAGGAUGCUAUGACAAGGUCUUUUAAAGCUGCAGGAUCAAAUUACCAGAGAACCAAGUCGUAAGCAAUAAUGAAAGUGAGUAAAGCUUUAGGAAAUGGAUACACAAAAUCUUUGCAGGAAAUUGCAGUUAUGAAACAGGAUGUUGAGAGAUUGAAAUUUCAGCUAAGAAAAUUGCAAUUAUGCAGGUCAAAGCUUCAAAAGAAAAUCAAGACAGGUUAGGAGAGUUCGUCAUGGAGCAGCUCAUAGGGUUGCUCAAUUAGCUAGACCAAUCAUUGACUCUGUAUUGUGGUGGAUGGAUCCACCAGCUGCUAUAUCCUCAGCCAUCUUGGCUGAAAGUUUGGCUUAAUGAAAAGCUUUGCUUUUAUCCAAAAAAAAAAAAAAGAUUUUGUACAUCAUGAGAUAUAAUUUUGUACAUCAUGAAUUACUUUUCCACCAAUCAUUGACUCUGUAUUGUGGUGGAUUGAUCCACCAGCUGCUAUAUCCUCAGCCAUCUUGGCUAAAAGUUUGGCUUAAUGAAAAGCUUUGCUUUUAUCCAAAAAAAAAAAAA